rnacentral:rRNA from 1 species
CCUACGGGCGGCAGCAGUGAGGAAUAUUGGUCAAUGGACGAGAGUCUGAACCAGCCAAGUAGCGUGAAGGAUGACUGCCCUAUGGGUUGUAAACUUCUUUUAUAUGGGAAUAAAGUGUUCCACGUGUGGGCUUUUGUAUGUACCUUAUGAAUAAGGAUCGGCUAACUCCGUGCCAGCAGCCGCGGUAAUACGGAGGAUCCGAGCGUUAUCCGGAUUUAUUGGGUUUAAAGGGAGCGUAGGUGGAUUGUUAAGUCAGUUGUGAAAGUUUGCGGCUCAACCGUAAAAUUGCAGUUGAAACUGGCAGUCUUGAGUACAGUAGAGGUGGGCGGAAUUCGUGGUGUAGCGGUGAAAUGCUUAGAUAUCACGAAGAACUCCGAUUGCGAAGGCAGCUCACUGAACUGCAACUGACACUGAGGCUCGAAAGUGUGGGUAUCAAACAGGAUUAGAUACCCGGGUAGUC